rnacentral:rRNA from 1 species
UGAAGCCGGAAUUGCUAGUAAUGGCAGGUCAGCAUACUGCCGUGAAUACGUUCCCGGGCCUUGUACACACCGCCCGUCACACCAUGAGAGUUGGGAAUACCCGAAGCCUGUGAGCUAACUUUUAAGAGGCAGCAGUCGAAGGUAGAAUCAAUGAUUGGGGUGAAGUCGUAACAAGGUACC